rnacentral:tRNA from 1 species
UACAAGAUGGUCGAAAAAACAUUAAACUGUAAAUUUAAUUAUGGAGUUACUCCUCUUGUAU